CGAGGCACCUGGUGAGGCAAACUAGUACAGGAACCGAGGAAGCCACCAGAUUCCAUUAUCCCCACUCGUUUCUCUCUUCUCUCUCAAGAAAGCAGGUACCACCUCCACCAGGCGCCGGCCGAGCUCUCGCUCAUCAGCUGCAUGUUGCUUUGCCCUCUCCAUCCAAGCACAAGAAGGUCCUGACAGGAUUUGCCCCUCCAAUCUAGCAGCCCAGCAAACCAUGGCUGCCGCUACCCAUCCCAAGCUCCCCCUCCAUCUCAUCCCCAACUCCGGCAAUGGAAAUCCAUGAGGUCUGGUCAUGGUGUGGGCUGAUUCGCUGUGCAAGGGAUCUAAGUAGGACUCGAUCUGGUCAAUUUGGGGUUUGCCCCAAUUCUGAAGCAAAACCUAUUUCUGGUCCGAGCCACUGCAUUUGCUGCAAAAGAGUAUUUCAUAGCAGCUUCCCUCUAUGCAAAGGGUAGAAUAUGGACUCCAUAAUGUCACAGUAAUGGAUAUUAAGACAUGAUGAUACAUGAAUUUUCCAUGGUAAGUGAGGGGGGUCAAGGAAGAACCUUCUCUUUCAUUUUGUUGGUAGAGACAUUUCUGAUGUGGUUACUGAUCAUUAAGUGUGAUCUUAACCUUAUGAUUCACUACGAGGUCUUGAUGUAUUUAGAAAGUUCAGUCAGAUGUGUACAAAUCAUAUUUAUCCUCUUUAGACUUUUUCCCUAGAGUUUCAGACCUGGUGUGUACAUAUUGGAUUAUAUGCUCGCCUCUAUUUUGGACAUGGUUGCAUGAAUGAUUUGGAACAGUCCAUGUAAAUUGUUUGCAGAACGUGUUGAUAUAUAUUUGGAUGCUAGACAAUAAUGUGGGAAAGUCAAGAGUAAUGUAUAAAAAACAUCUGAAUAUUAUGAAUUUCUAAAAAAAAUGAAGCAUGGUUUGAGAUA